rnacentral:lncRNA from 1 species
AUGUUAGUCACACAUACCAGAGCAGGAGGGGUUCAGGUGAGAGGCCAAAGGCCGGGCGGUCUCCAGCUGGAGCCAGGGCCCGCUCCAAAUCCGAUCUGUCACAGAGCGCAGCCCUGCAGGAUUUACAGGGAGCCGUCGUACCUGCUGCAUCAGCGCUGGCACGAGGACGCUGCACCGCUGAAAUGUGUCCGGGCCGUGGUACUCUCCAGCAAACUGGGGAGUUUUCAAGUGGACAGAUUGAGAAUCUGGCCGCCAGCGCGUGCCAGCUCCGCGCCGCCGGUGCCAGUCCGAGACGACCACCUGUUCCAAAGACCACAGCGACUGCGUCGCCGCCUCGGCCAAUCCGGCUCAGACGCAGCGAAGGUGUCUGCUUGCCUUGAUUUCUCUAUUCAUGACUUGCGCAGCUGCCUUGUGUGGAAGCAAAUACGCAGCCUGUUAGUAAUUUAUCUGGAGGAAAAUCUUUCUCUACCCACUUUUUUCCACGUUGGGCAAAUGCUGCAGGCCCCAAUAAAGGGAGAGGAACGCGCUUUAAUGGAGUUCAUAAAUCUGUAUUUCAUGCUGCCAACUCCGAGCGGCGUACACUGUUUUGUCUCCCUCUCUCGCCCCCCGCCUGAGUUGGUAAUCUCGUUAAAGUUCAGUGUUUCCAGAGCCGUCUCCUCCGGGAGCCGGGCUUCCUGAUGCCAUCCUCUUUCAGCAGUUUACCCUCUGUAGAGGUCUGAUGGCCUGUUUCCGCUGCUCAGACCCACUGUGUGGAAACGGACGCCGGCAUCGUGAUGGUGUGAUUGCUGUCCUACAUCGCUCCACAGAGGGCAGCACUUCAUUAAACACAAAUUGUUAACACAUGGGAUGUGUUUAUUAAGUUGAAACCCAGACCAUUAUGGGCCCAACUGUCUUGCUCCUGCUGUGCCACCAUUAAAAACACCUGUGCCUGGAGGACACAACAAACACGUUUGUUUUUAUUCUUUUUUAUCGCAUUGGUGGUUUGCUGUGAUUUGCUCACGUCCUGUUGCAGCUACAGUAAGAACCAAAUUGAAACUAAUGGACGGACGCGGCCACAUGGAUGAAUAGACGCCCAGCGAGCCGUCCUGUUUCGCUUUACAGCCGCCUCGGUUCCCGAGCGAACGCCGUGCGACUCGAUGGCCCGUUAAGGGAAUCUGGGGAAAUAAUGACAAGCCUUCAAUAAAAAAACGACUUAAACAAAUGGCGCUCA